GAAGGAACCCCUCAUGAAGCUCUUAUUUUGGCGCUUGGCUAUUUGGGUGUCCGAGAUCUUUUUCUUAUUGAGAAUGUUUGCACAUCUCUGCGAUCUGUAGUUCAGAAUGAUCCUAUUUUAUGGAGGGAUAUUCUCAUAAAUCCACCACUGAAUGAGAAGAUUACGGAUGAUGUUCUUUUACAAAUAACUGGUAGAGGCCAAGGUAGCUUGCAAUGCUUGGGCCUGGUUGAUUGCUAAAGGAUUACUGAUGAAGGUCUUAAGCGUGUCGUUGAAAAUAAUCCAAAGCUAAUCAAGCCAUGCUUCCAAUAAUGUGUUAGAUGGGCUGAACAUGUUUGAUGGAACUGAUGGUCAUUACUUCCACACCGCGUCAAGGGGUCACCACUCGGUGUGGGAUUCUCGCCUUUUUAAUUAUGGAAGCUGGGAAGUACUGAGGUAUCUACUUUCAAAUGCAAGAUGGUGGCUGGAGGAGUAUAAGUUUGAUGGGUAUAGAUUUGAUGGUGUGACUUCAAUGAUGUACAAGAUUUCCUUGAUUAAGUAAAUGUAUUAUUUAUUUGAUUAAGAAAAUGCAUUGUAUGUUUUAUUACCUUGCAUAUGUAUUAUUUAUUUUAGU